rnacentral:rRNA from 1 species
CCAUUUAAGCGAGGCAGCAGGCGCGCAAUUACCCAAUCCUGACUCAGGGAGGUAGUGACAAGAAAUAACAAUAAACCGGCUUAUGCCGGUUUAAUUGGAAUGAGUACAAUUUAAACAUCUUAACGAGGAACAAUUGGAGGGCAAGUCUGGUGCCAGCAGCCGCGGUAAUUCCAGCUCCAAUAGCGUAUACUAAAGUUGUUGCAGUUAAAAAGCUCGUAGUUGGAUUUCUGUGGGGACGGAGCGGCCGGCCGCAACUCGCGGUUCGAGCUAGCGCUUUCCCUACAUCCUGCCGCGAACCGUGCUACCAUUAGUUUGGUGGCGCCGGGGAUCGGCUCGAUUACUUUGAGAAAAAUAGAGUGUUCAAAGCAGGCCACAUGCCUUGAAUAAGUUAGCAUGGAAUAAUAACUAAGGACUUCGGUUCUAUUUUGUUGGUGUUCGGGACUGAAGUAAUGAUUGAUAGGGACAGUUGGGGCGGUCUGUAUUCCAAAGCGAGAGGUGAAAUUCUUAGACCUUCGGAAGACAAACAGCUGCGAAAGCGUUCCGCAAGGAUGUUCCCUUUGAUCAAGAACGAAAGUUGGGGGAUCGAAGACGAUCAGAUACCGUCGUAGUCUCAACUAUAAACUAUACCAGCUAGGGAUCGGCCAACGUUAUUUCAAACCGACUUGGUCGGCACCUUAUGAGAAAUCAAAGCAUCUGGGUUCCGGGGGGAGUAUGGUCGCAAGGCUGAAACUUAAAGGAAUUGACGGAAGGGCACCACCAGCCGUGGAGCCUGUGGCUUAAUUUGACUCAACACGGGAAAACUUACCAGGUCCAGACAUAGUAAGGAUUGACAGAUUGAUAGCUCUUUCUUGAUUCUGUGGGUGGUGGUGCAUGGCCGUUCUUAGUUGGUGGAGUGAUUUGUCUGGUUAAUUCCGUUAACGAACGAGACCCCAGCCUGCUAAAUAGCGCGCGUGAGCUUUGCUCGCGGCGAGCUUCUUAGAGGGACUCUGAUGCGCGAUAGCACAUGGAAGUUUGGGGCAAUAACAGGUCUGUGAUGCCCUUAGAUGUUCUGGGCCGCACACGGGCUACACUGGCGCCUGCAUCGAGCAUAUCAGCUGGCCCGAGAGGGUCUUGGCUAAUCUUUUGAACCGGCGCCGUGCUUGGGAUUGACCUUUGCAAUUGUUGGUCAUGCAACGAGGAAUGCCUUGUAAACGCGAGUCAUCAGCUCGCAUUGAAUACGUCCCUGCCCUUUGUACACACCGCCCGUCGCUCCUACCGAUGAAUGUUCCGAUGAAAUUUCCGGAGAGCACCUGUGAACUUGGCUCUGCCUUGCGAACGGGAGGCUCAAAGUCACUUAAAUCUGAACAUUGAG